rnacentral:rRNA from 1 species
GACGAACGCUGGCGGCGUGCUUAACACAUGCAAGUCGAACGGAAAGGCCUUUUCGGCGGUACUCGAGUGGCGAACGGGUGAGUAACACGUGGGUGAUCUGCCCUGCACUCUGGGAUAAGCCUGGGAAACUGGGUCUAAUACCGGAUAGGACCGCACUUUAGUGUGUGUGGUGGAAAGUUUUUUCGGUGUAGGUUGAGCCCGCGGCCUAUCAGCUUGCUGGUGGGGUAAUGGCCUACCAAGGCGGCGACGGGUAGCCGGACUGGGGGGUUGGUCGGCCACAUUGGGGCUGAGAUACGGCCCAGACUCCUACGGGGGGCAGCGGGGGGGAAGAUUGGACAAUGGGCGCAAGCCUGAUGCAGCGACGCCGCGGGGGGGAUGACGGGCUUCGGGUUGUAAACUCCUUUCGCCAGGGACGAAGCGUUUUGUGACGGUACCUGGAGAAGAAGCACCGGCUAACUACGUG